UCUUGUCCUUUCCAUCCACAGGCCCCCGUAGUCCCUCCUUAGCCAAAUCAAUGUAUUCCAGCAGCCUGGAGACUCAUGGAGAUGUUUUCAGCAAUAUGUGCUUGGCUCCUAAGAGAAGCCCAUGGAAAGCACUAGCCUGACACUGCAUAGAAUGAAGCAAAGUACAACCCAUGCAGCAUGCAAAGCCUCAAGUUUAACUGUUUUAUUUUCUAGUUGAGAAGCUAACAUUGGUCAUCAGAAAUCAGCCUGAAAUCCUGUGUUGUCCAAUAUCCUAUUUCUGAGGAAAAGCGAGGGAAGAUCUCAGCCACAUAAACUGAAAUCUAGAUGUGGAGACAGAAAAACAGAUACUCAAAUCCUGGCACCAGAUGUCUGAUGGCAUGUUUGGAGACUGGAAAGACAAGAAAAACGGAAAGAAAGUCUUCACCCAAUAU